UACGGAGGGGGCUAGCGUUGUUCGGAAUUACUGGGCGUAAAGCGCACGUAGGCGGCUUUGUAAGUUAGAGGUGAAAGCCCGGAGCUCAACUCCGGAAUUGCCUUUAAAACUGCAAAGCUAGAAUCAUGGAGAGGUGAGUGGAAUUCCGAGUGUAGAGGUGAAAUUCGUAGAUAUUCGGAAGAACACCAGUGGCGAAGGCGACUCACUGGACAUGUAUUGACGCUGAGGUGCGAAAGCGUGGGGAGCAAACAGG
rnacentral:rRNA from 1 species